GUGGAGGUAGUUUAGUUGGUAAAACGUUUUAUUUAACAAUAAUCUUUCUAGAUUUAUGUUAUAAGUCAAAAUACAAAAAAGUCGUGGGUUCAACUCCCACCUUCCACG
rnacentral:tRNA from 1 species